rnacentral:rRNA from 1 species
GGCGAACGCUGGCGGCGUGCUUAACACAUGCAAGUCGAACGAUGAAGCCGGAGCUUGCUCCGGUGGAUUAGUGGCGAACGGGUGAGUAACACGUGAGCAAUCUGCCCUUGACUCUGGGAUAACUGCGGGAAACUGUAGCUAAUACCGGAUACGACACCUUGGGGCAUCCCAGGGUGUGGAAAGAAUUUCGGUCAAGGAUGAGCUCGCGGCCUAUCAGCUAGUUGGUGAGGUAAUGGCUCACCAAGGCGACGACGGGUAGCCGGCCUGAGAGGGGGACGGGCCAAACUGGAACUGAGACACGGUCCAGACUCCUGCGGGAGGCAGCAGUGGGGAAUAUUGCACAAUGGGCGAAAGCCUGAUGCAGCAACGCCGCGUGAGGGAUGAAGGCCUUCGGGUUGUAAACCUCUUUUAGCAGGGAAGAAGCGAAAGUGACGGUACCUGCAGAAAAAGCACCGGCUAACCACGUGCCAGCCGCCGCGGUAA